rnacentral:lncRNA from 1 species
GGAGAAAAAAGUCCAUUUUUUCUUGUCCCUUAAGGUGAAAAUACAUAUUGUUGAGAUUCACGCCUAUACGCUUUGUCAUAUUGACACAAAAUUUGACAAUCACGUGCCUUGCCUGGUAUCAUUUUUUUCAGCACAACCUCACCUGUGCGAAUUUACAGUUAUUUUAUCAUGUUGACAUACUGAAUUUACACAAUGGACCCAAAUUCACACACAAAACAUAAAAUCCGAGUGGAAAAAAGUAACAUUUUUACUGUGAAAACCACAAAUAUGUGUGAUGAACUGUUUUUAAAACUUAAACUUCAAAUAAAAAUUGUAAACUUCAAAACAUAUGCAAAUUUUUAACAAAGAACAUAGUGAUUUACCUCUAUUUACAUCAAAAUGCAGGCAAUGGCCCAGGCGUUCUUUGUAAAAUUAUUUACAAAACACUGUAUAGUCUCACAAAUGUCACUUUUUAUUUAUGCCACUACAAAAAAACAUGAUGUAAAUGAUGCAUGAUGUAAAACAUGAUGUAAAAAACUUGUGUAGAUCCUCCUCUAUGUCAGUCCAUGUGUAAUUUUUCCAUAAUUCUUUGUUUUUUGCAGCAUUUUUGUUAGUGUAACUGCAGAUUGUGCUGACAGUGUCUAUGGCACAAAAAAAAAAAAAAUUAAAAUGCCUCAACAUGAACCCCUGGUGAUCUCUGAGGGUGAAACCUGCUAACUGCUGCAGCUCUGUCAGCUUCAGUCUCCCAUGCAGAGCUCGGAGCGCAUGUGUGGCUCUGCACCCUUAGCAGCGUUGCUAACUCCUCAGUAAGGAAAGCCUGCUUCAUGUCAGAGUCUCUAAACUCCAGAAGAAGUCGAUAAAAGUCACUUUCUUUCUAAAAAAAAGUCGUUAGGGGGUCUGAAAAGUCAUUGAAUCUAACAACAAAGUCGCUAGGUUUGCAACUACGUGUCCCAGACUGCAUCCCUGCUGAGAGUCCCUCCCUCCCUUCUCAUAUUGCAGGAAGAACGUAAGUUCCCGCCCCUUGUCAAUCAGUCACCAUAUAAUUUUGGAUUGGUUGUUGUGGUGAAGUUUUCCACCAAUAGGAGAGAUGUUGUGGUGUGUAUUUUUUUUCCUUUGGCAAGCCUUUUCCGCCUGUAAGACCUGUCGCUAAUGUCUGCAUGCUAUGUUUUCCUGUCUCAUACAGCGCGAUCGAGCGCCGAACGUGAUCAAAAUAAGCAGAAAACAAGUAUCGCGGACAUAAUUUAUCAUAACUCUGGUUUUAUUUGGCCUAUCAACACAAUUUAAAAACUGGUAUAUAGGUUGAGGUCCUCACUUUUGAGAUAAAUUGAAACGGAGAGUCAACGAGGCUCCGUCUUGCAUCUACAUCCGGUUAAAUAUGUCAUGUGACUUGAACGCACACACACACACACACACAGACACACACACACGCACACACACACACUCAGAGUCUGGUUUGUAGCACCUGCAAAAACAUGCUAUUUACAUAUUUGACAAGAAUGCAGAGGCUCCUUUUGCCCCUGAAAAAAAUCAAAUUUCAAACACAACUUGACUGGUCAUUUCUCCAAAAGACAACCAUGAAGCUCCAUCCAAACCUGAAGCAGGCAGUUGGUGCAUGUGUACAGUAACCUGAGGGGAGUGAGGUGACUGCUUCUGAGGAGAACAUGAGCAGUGAAGAUUCACCUUAGAGCUAGAACAGAGACGUGCACAUGAUUAUACAGGGGCAGGGGCUCAAGUUUUUUCCAGUUGUUUAUACAAUAUGGAAAUUAAUGUGAAAUUAAAAAACAAAGUAUUAAUAGAAAGGUAAUGACUGUCCUGAGUAGGUGACAGUGAUAUCCAAUAGGCUAGGCACUCAAGAGGCUGGCUGUGGCAAGUGUAAGUGAAAGCAACACGCACUGGCAGGAAGAACAGCAAACGCCGAUGAAGGAAAAGGGUCUUUGCAGUGAUGGGCGUUACCAGAGAGGGCGAUGGCCAGAGGACACAAAUGGGACGGGGAGGCAGCGCGUUGGGGGGGGGGACGCGACACAGCUCGGGCCCGCCAGUGCCCCAACGGGGUCCUAGUUAGGGCCCGAGCCAGCUGCAGAGCAGCCGGGCGUAGGCCCUAUUAUUCCCCAAGUGGUUUUUCUUUGUUUCUUUCUUUCUUUCUUUCUUUCUUCUUUUUCCUCCCCUUUGAACUGGAAAAUGGCCCACUUCCCACUGGCGAAAACUCAUGAAAUUUGGCAGGACGACCGGGCCUGGUGAAAAAUUCGAUAUUCUGAAGUCGCCCAAACAAUAAAAUGCAAAAUGGCUCCAUAGCGCCCCCUAAGGUGGAAAUUCACACUAUUGACUGUCACGCCUGUACGCUUUGUCAUAUUGACACAAAAAUUGACACACAUAUGUAUCUCAAUAAGAUCUACAAAAAAGUCAGUGCGGCCGUAUCUGUCAAAAUUACGGUUAAAGGGUUAUUUCGCAUUUUUUGCCGAUCCGCACACAUUGGAAUUUCGCUAACUCCUCCGAAGGCUUUCGUUCCACCGGCACCACAUUUGCUCAGGCCAAUCUACACCCCGUGGCCAUUAAAAGUUAUCAAAAUCAUGACGCUGCACCCCAAGGUUUAGGUUCUAGGGGGCGCCAAAGAUAACACUAAAAUCCACAUAUUUAAAAGUCUUAUAACUUUUUAUUUUUGUCCUCACUGGCCUCCAAGUUUUCUAGGAUGAUGCAAUGUCCAGCCAUCAACACAUUUGUGAAGGAAUUUUUACUCCCCAAAAGAGCGCCCCCCCAUGGCAGGAGAAAAAAGUCCAUUUUUUCUUGUCCCCUAAGGUGAAAAUACACAUUGUUGAGUGUCACGCCUAUACGCUUUGUCAAAAUGACACAAAAAUUGACACACACAUGUAACUCAAUAAGAUCUACGAAAAAGUCAAUGCGUGCGUAUCUGUCAAAUGUACGGUUAAAGGGUUAUUUCGCAUUUUUUGCCGAUCCGCACACAUUGGAAUUUCGCUAACUCCUCCGAAGGCUUUCGUUCCACCGGCACCACAUUUGCUCAGGCCAAUCUACACCCCGUGGCCAUUAAAAGUUAUCAAAAUCAUGACGCUGCACCCCAAGGUUUAGGUUCUAGGGGGCGCCAAAGAUAACCCUAAAAUCCACAUAUUUAAAAGUCUUAUAACUUUUUAUUUUUGUCCUCACUGGCCUCCAAGUUUUCUAGGAUGAUGCAAUGUCCAGCCAUCAACACAUUUGUGAAGGAAUUUUUACUCCCCAAAAGAGCGCCCCCCCAUGGCAGGAGAAAAAGUCCAUUUUUUCUUGUCCCCUAAGGUGAAAAUUCACAUUGUUGAGUGUCACGCCUAUACGCUUUGUCAAAAUGACACAAAAAUUGACACACACAUGUAACUCAAUAAGAUCUACGAAAAAGUCAAUGCGCGCGUAUCUGUCAAAUGUAUGGUUAAAGGGUUAUUUCGCAUUUUUUGCCGAUCCGCACACAUUGGAAUGUGGCUAACUCCUCCUAAGGCUUUCGUUCCACCGGCACCACAUUUGCUCAGGCCAAUCUACACCCCAUGGCCAUUAAAAGUUAUUCAAAUCAUGACGCUGCACCCCACGGUUUAGGUUCUAGGGGGCGCCAAAGAUAACCCUAAAAUCCACAUAUUUAAAAGUCUUAUAACUUUUUAUUUUUGUCCUCACUGGCCUCCAAGUUUUCUAGGAUGAUGCAAUGUCCAGCCAUCAACACAUUUGUGAAGGAAUUUUUACUCCCCAAAAGAGCGCCCCCCGAUGGCAGGAGAAAAAAGUCCAUUUUUUCUUGUCCCCUAAGGUGAAAAUACAUAUUGUUGAGAUUCACGCCUAUACGCUUUGUCAUAUUGACACAAAAUUUGACAAUCACGUGCCUUGCCUGGUAUCAUUUUUUUCAGCACAACCUCACCUGUGCGAAUUUACAGUUAUUUUAUCAUGUUGACAUACUGAAUUUACACAAUGGACCCAAAUUCACACACAAAACAUAAAAUCCGAGUGGAAAAAAGUAACAUUUUUACUGUGAAAACCACAAAUAUGUGUGAUGAACUGUUUUUAAAACUUAAACUUCAAAUAAAAAUUGUAAACUUCAAAACAUAUGCAAAUUUUUAACAAAGAACAUAGUGAUUUACCUCUAUUUACAUCAAAAUGCAGGCAAUGGCCCAGGCGUUCUUUGUAAAAUUAUUUACAAAACACUGUAUAGUCUCACAAAUGUCACUUUUUAUUUAUGCCACUACAAAAAAACAUGAUGUAAAUGAUGCAUGAUGUAAAACAUGAUGUAAAAAACUUGUGUAGAUCCUCCUCUAUGUCAGUCCAUGUGUAAUUUUUCCAUAAUUCUUUGUUUUUUGCAGCAUUUUUGUUAGUGUAACUGCAGAUUGUGCUGACAGUGUCUAUGGCACAAAAAAAAAAAAAAAUUAAAAUGCCUCAACAUGAACCCCUGGUGGUCUCUGAGGGUGAAACCUGCUAACUGCUGCAGCUCUGUCAGCUUCAGUCUCCCAUGCAGAGCUCUGAGCGCAUGUGUGGCUCUGCACCCUUAGCAGCGUUGCUAACUCCUCAGUAAGGAAAGCCUGCUUCAUGUCAGAGUCUCUAAACUCCAGAAGAAGUCGAUAAAAGUCCCUUUCUUUCUAAAAAAAAGUCGUUAGGGGGUCUGAAAAGUAAUUGAAUCUAACAACAAAGUCGCUAGGUUUGCAACUACGUGUCCCAGACUGCAUCCCUGCUGAGAGUCCCUCCCUCGCUUCUCAUGUUGCAGGAAGAACGUAAGCACCCGCCCCUUGUCAAUCAGUCACCAUAUAAUUUUGGAUUGGUUGUUGUGGUGAAGUUUUCCACCAAUAGGAGAGAUGUUGUGGUGUGUUUUUUUUUUCUUUUGGCAAGCCUUUUCCGCCUGUAAGACCUGUCGCUAAUGUCUGCAUGCUAUGUUUUCCUGUCUCAUACAGCGCGAUCGAGCGCCGAACGUGAUCAAAAUAAGCAGAAAAAAAGUAUCGCGGACAUAAUUUAUCAUAACUCUGGUUUUAUUUGGCCUAUCAACACAAUUUAAAAACUGGUAUAUAGGUUGAGGUCCUCACUUUUGAGAUAAGUUGAAACGGAGAGUCAACGAGGCUCCGUCUUGCAGCUACAUCCGGUUAAAUAUGUCAUGUGACUUGAACGCACACACAGACACACACACACGCACACACACACACACACACACACACACUCAGAGUCUGGUUUUUAGCACCUGCAAAAACAUGCUAUUUACAUAUUUGACAAGAAUGCAGAGGCUCCUUUUGCCCCUGAAAAAAAUCUAAUUUCAAACACAACUUGACUGCUCAUUUCUCCAAAAGACAACCAUGAAGCUCCAUCCAAACCUGAAGCAGGCAGUUGGUGCAUGUGUACAGUAACCUGAGGGGAGUGAGGUGAGUGCUUCUGAGGAGAACAUGAGCAGUGAAGAUUCACCUUGGAGCUAGAACAGAGACAUGCACAUGAUUAUACAGGGGCAGGGGCUCAAGUUUUUUCCAGUCGUUUAUAUCAUAUGGAAAUUAAUGUGAAAUUAAAACACAAAGUAUUAAUAGAAAGGUAAUGACUGUCCUGUGUAGGUGACAGUGAUAUCCAAUAGGCUAGGCACUCACGAGGCUGGCUGUGGCAAGUGUAAGUGAAAGCAACACGCACUGGCAGGAAGAACAGCAAACGCCGAUGAAGGAAAAGGGUCUUUGCAGUGAUGGGCGUUACCAGAGAGGGCGAUGGCCAGAGGACACAAAUGGGACGGGGAGGCAGCACGUUGGGGGGGGGGGACGGGACACGGCUCGGGCCCGCCAGUGCCCCAACGGGGUCCUAGUUCUUCUUUUUCCUCCCCUUUGAACUGGAAAAUGGCCCACUUCCCACUGGCGAAAACUCAUGAAAUUUGGCAGGAUGACCGGGCCUGGUGAAAAAUUUGAUAUUCCGAAGUCGCCCAAACAAGAAAAUGCAAAAUGGCUCCAUAGCGCCCCCUAAGGUGAAAAUUCACACUAUUGACUGUCACGCCUUUACGCUUUGUCAUAUUGACACAAAAAUUGACACACACAUGUAUCUCAAUAAGAUCUACAAAAAGGUCAGUGCGGGCGUAUCUGUCAAAUGUACGGUUAUAGGGUUAUUCCGCAUUUUUUGCCGAUACGCACACAUUGGAAUUUCGCUAACUCCUCCGAAGGCUUUCGUUCCACCGGCACCACAUUUGCUCAGGCCAAUCUACACCCCAUGGCCAUUAAAAGUUAUUAAAAUCAUGACGCUGCACCCCACAGUUUAGGUUCUAGGGGGCGCCAAAGAUAACCCUAAAAUCCACAUAUUUAAAAGUCUUAUAACUUUUUAUUUUUGCCCUCACUGGCCUCCAAGUUUUCUAGGAUGAUGCAAUGUCCAGCCAUCAACACAUUUGUGAAGGAAUUUUUACUCCCCAAAAGAGCGCCCCCCCAUGGCAGGAGAAAAAAGUCAAUUUUUUCUUGUCCCCUAAGGUGAAAAUACACAUUGUUGAGUGUCACGCCUGUACGCUUUGUCAUAUUGACACAAAAUUUGACACACACAUGUAUCUCAAUAAGAUCUACGAAAAAGUCAAUGCGCGCGUAUCUGUCAAAUGUACGGUUAAAGGGUUAUUCCGCAUUUUUUGCUGAUCCGCACACAUUGGAAUUUCGCUAACUCCUCCUAAGGCUGGCG